rnacentral:tRNA from 1 species
UCCAGGGUAGCCUAGUGGACAUGGCAUCUGCUCGGUAAGCGGAACAUUGUGGGUUCGAUUUCAAUCCCUGGAC